AGCAGCGACGAACUCUUCAGACGUUUCUGAACGGUGACACAGUGAUCCAACCCUUCAGUUUAGUCUUUCAUGAGCCUGUGAGUUAUUUCCAGUUUUCUAAAGAAUCUGCAUGAUAUUAACAUCACAUUCAUCACAGAAGGAGAAGAAUGAGGGGAAGAAACUACAGCAUAGGGAUCCACUGAUGAAGGCCUGAGGAUGCAGCUUAAAGCUCCAGAUACGUUCUAAUUUAUUUUUCCCGCUGUCCACAAUGUCGUCCAGUUUCUUCUUCUACACUGCAGAGAUCAUAACAACAAGGAAGCUGGAACAAUAAUUCAGAGACUAACAGAUUAAAUGAGCUUCAGAACUUCAAACUAAUUUUUACACAAGAUAUGGGCUUUAAGUUUGGACCAUUAAUUACACUGAAAAGCAUUUUAGGAGCAAAGCAUGAAGAGCUAAACAGUUACAGUGGUCAACAGUCACUGUUGACGUGAG
ensembl:lncRNA